GGACAAGCUGAUGAGGAGUUUUUUGUCGCAGAGGGUGAUGAGCAUCUUGAGGAUGAUGUUUCUGGCGGUUAAGUAAAGCAUAGAGAAUGGCUUUCAUCCAGGUGGUGCCAGAUUUGGGUGGAGUUACAAGGAAGACAUCGUUUUGUCGAGGUCGAAAAUGUUGUUGACAGUCGAUCAAGCCUUUCAAACUUAUAGAACCAAACCAGAAUCCUUGGUAUUGAUAAGUGUAGUCUUCAGUUAUGCCUUUGGCUUUUGGCAGGGAUGAAAGCCAUUCUUGGCUACAAACCACAGGCUCAGCGUCAGACUCUGUUGUUUUCGCUUCCAUGAUAUGUUAUGUUAACAUGCAAAGAAAAGACAUGUGAUAUAUUAUAAUAUUGGACACCACUAGCCCAGGGACCUAUAGCAUAUUCCUCGAUUAAAUAAUUGGAUUACAGCUCUACAAUCACAAACCGUUAGAAAGAGUAGGACCCCUAGGUAUUACAUUUAUGGAAAAUGCUUAUUGCACAUAAUUGUGUACUAAAACAUGUACAUAAUGAUAUGUGUCAGAUUUUAAUUGGAUGACCCCCUGCAUUUACACCAAUCACCCCAAUUAAAACCCACCACAUCACUUGCCACAUCAUUAUGUACAAAUUUUCUGUACACAAUUAUGUGCACCUAGCACUACUCUACAUUUAUAGUAGUGUUACAUACACAAAAUUGGAUACUCCCUCUGUCCCAUUUAAUUCUAUACGUUUCUUUUUAACUGCUCGACACGCAUUUCAAUGCUCUUAUAAAAUAUAGUUCCGUAACUUUUUUUUGAGAUUUUCUUUUUCUGUAUAAAAAUAUAACAUCCAAACUUUAAUACAGAAAAGAAAAAUUUUAAAAACAAAUUGCACAACUACAUUUUGCAGGAGCAUUAAAGUCCGUGCCGCGUCCCCGUCCCCCAAUGUAUACAACUCAGGGGGACGGAGGGAGUACAUAAUUUUGGACAAAAUGACAUGACAAGUAAGGUGGGAAGUUUUAAGUGGUGCUAUUAAUGCAUAUACAGGGGCCAAUCAAAUCACAAGUUAACACAUACUUAUUCUGUGAAUGUUUUUGUACACAAUCCUGUGCAUCUAACAUUUUCCUUACAGUUAAUAUAAAUACAUAUUUUAAAAAUUAUUUUAAUUUUUUUACAUUGUUGUGUGUGUCAGAAAUAAUUUUAAAAUAUAAUACAUAAACUUUGAGGGAACACAGGAGGUAAAGUAGCUAUUAGAGACUAAAUAUAUACACUGUUACCUCUCAAACAGUUAAAGUGAACGGCGUAUUUGGACGGAAUAGUGACUAGGGUUUACAACUUGCACGGUAAUGUCAAGUGUAAGGUGCAUAUUGCCACGUUUUAAAGUUUAGGUACUAAACUGCGUUUGAAGCAAAACUAAGAGAUACAAAAUGUAAUUAACUCUUCAAUUAUUUCCCAGCUGAUUGACAAAUUUGCUGUUGUUUAUCCACCCAGCAGUUGCUCAGUCAUUUGUAGUGUACAGAAUGCUACUCCCUCCGAUUCUAAUUACUUUUCCCGUUUGAAAUGUCGGUACUGUUCAUAACACGAGACAAAUUACUAAUUUACGUAUAAUCUAUAAGAUAAAAUAUAGUCAUGAGUGAUCUUAUUGGAUUCGUAUUUAUAAGUACUUUAAUACGGUGAAAGUUUUAUAUUUAAAACUAAUAUAAAAUUAAAGAUAUUUAUAAUCAAAAAUGUGUAUUGGCAAACGUGAAAAGGACAAAUGGGAAAAGUAUUUAGGGACGGAGGGAGUAACAGACAUAGGCAACAUCAUCGUUUAAUCUUAGUAUUGGCCAAUAAAUUCAGAUGAAACUGUGGUUUCUUUCAGAUUUGGGUGAAUCGGCAUAUAUGAUAUACCUGACAUUAGUAGGAUAUAAAUAGAAAUAGCCUUGCUUUCGUAUUUUUUUCUUGUUGAGUUACGGUGAGAAGUUAUUAUUGCUCAAUAUUUAUAUUCAGACAUAAUUUUGAUAGAUUUUGGAGUCUUCUAAUUAGAAUAUGAUAAUAAGGUGAUGAUUUUUGCAUGAGUAUAUCAAAUUUAUAUAUUCACUUUUCAUUAUGUAAUACACGCCUAUGACUCAAUGGGGUGGACAAUCAAAAUCGCCUAAAAACCAAAGAUAUUAUUGACAUGCAUGCAUCUGGUGUAAAUAUAAUUCCUAACUAUGUUAUAAACUCCCUCACCAACUAUUGGAUACAUCACAUAUGCGAAAUUUAUUAAAAUCUUGUUAUUCGGGACUAAGGGAAUUUUUUGGAUAUUUUGAACUGAUAAUUUUGUGAGAUUUUCGGAGUAUUCUAUACUUUCAUAAUCAACGAAAAGUGUUGAAGUUUGCAUUUAAAUUCUAAAAACUCUUUUGCAUAAAAUGAAAAAUAAAUAUAAUUUAUUAACAUUCAUAAAUUAUUAUUACUUAAUUAAAAUCCGAAUCAAACAACACCUUAAUUGAAACGUGCUCCUGAGAAGGUACAGUACUUGGUAUACAUCGAGGGAGUACUACUUAAAAAUGCAUACAUAUGAUGAUAAGCCAUCUCAAACUCAUACUUUCAGGGACAUAAAACAAAGAGACACAAACAAGCCAACAAGAAGAUCAAUAAUACAAGCAACAAACACACAUUAAAUUCGAUAUUAAUUUUGGCCAUAAUGUAUAUAAGUGAUGAUGAUAUAUAUAUAUAUAUCAAAGUUUUAAUCCUGAACCACGGAACUUGUCCUGGGUAAUCUGAUCCAACUUAGCAGCCAUCUCUGGAGUUAGCCACUUAUUUCCUUCUCCAACUUGACCGUUCCGAAAAUAUGAAGAAUUGCUUACUCCGGGCAAGAAAUGUCCUGUGCUAUUAACCUGCAGUUUGCUCAUGCUCCCAAAACUACACAAACUCGUGAUCUGAUCAACCAUUUCCAUUAAUUCCUCCUCUGGUGAGAAGGGUCUCCCCAGAAACCGCGCCAGACGCCUGAGUUGAGCAUGAGGCUCAGACUUCAACUCUUCAUACCUCAUAAACAGCACCUUGUUUGGUCUCUCCAGGCUUUCCUUCCAAUAUUCCAAGAUUUGAUCCCAGAUAGGACCCGCAACGUUUGUGCCUUUGCAGAAUAAAUGAAAUGCCUCCUCCAAAGAAACGGGAGAAGAUCGUAAACCCAGGGCCGGCUCAUAAUGAAGGCGAGUUAGGCAAUCGCCUAAGGCCCCCAUCUGGAGAAGGCCCCAAAAUUUUAUUGGUAUGUAUUUAUGUAGGUAUAUAUGUACAAAAAUAAAUAAACUAGCUUCAUGAUUUAAAAGAAUAAAAAAAAAAUAUUCGAAUUAUCUUACAAUAGGCCCCAAAAUGAAAUUAAUAUGUAUACAUUGAGGUAUAUUUAUAUAUGCAAAAAGAAAUUAGUUUCAUGAUAUUAAAAGAAAAAUUAAAAAAGAACUAGAAUUAAUAUCUAAAUCUGGUAAAAAAAUUGAGAAAUACUGUGUGAUAAUUUUUUUUGAAAAGAAUGAUAACUAAAAUAUUAAUAUUGAUAGUUUUAGUCAUGUUUUUUUUGUGCUAACUUAAUAAAUACUUGAUUUGAAUCUCUAACUAAUAAUAAAUAUGUAAAUAAUUUUUUUAUUGGGAUGUAACUUGGUUCUUGUGAACAUAAAAUUUAGUUCUCAAAAAUAAAAAAAUGUUAGAGAUUCUAUUAUGAUUUUUUCAGUCUCUCUUCAUUUUAAUUACUUUUUAAAUUUUAAUUUUAAUAACACAAAUACUUUUAUUAUAAUAUUAAAUAAUAUAAAACUAUCAAUGUAUAUAAGUUAUUUAUGUUAUACACAAGACACGUUACACUGAUUAACAUUAAUUUAUAAUGUUAAUGUCAUUUUUCAUCUCCGGGUCUUCUAGAGUCUAAACAAUUUACUUAAUUAUCUAAACAUCAUCUUUACUCUAUAUCUUUACUCUAUAUCUUCUCCGUCCAGUUUUUGCAAAAAAAAAAAAAAUUACUUCUGAGUUUUAUAUUAUAAUAUUUAAUAUUAAAAAAAUAUUUAUAUUAGUAAUAUAAUAUUUAAAUUUUUGCUUAGGCCUCAUUUUGAGGUUCCGCCUAAGGCCACAAAAUUUCUUGAGCCGGUCCUGCGUAAACCAAUUUUGUUUGCGAAGUGAAAGAGUGAAGUAAAAGUGUCCUUGAUGUCCCUGCACAAAUACACAAUCUUGAUGUUAGUUGAUCCAUCAUCAUCCUCCUCUGUUAUGGACUUGGGGAGGCAACGUAUAGGAAAAUGGCAGCCAAAGAUCCUACUAGUGCUGUCUAAGAAUAAGGAGUCAUAUUCGGACGGCUUAGUUAAUUCCAUAAAAGGGACAAGCUGAUGAGGAGUCUUUUGUCGCAGAGGGUGAUGAGCAUCUUGAGGAUGAUAUUUUUGGCGGUGAAGUAAAGCAUAGAGAAUGGCUUUCAUCCAGGUGGUGCCAGAUUUGGGUGCAGUUACAAGCAAGACAUCGUUUUGUCGAGGCCGAAAAUGUUGUUGACAGUCGAUCAAGCCUUGCAAACUUAUAGUACCAAACCAGAAUCCUUGGUAUUGAUAA
rnacentral:lncRNA from 1 species